rnacentral:rRNA from 1 species
UUAAUUGAAGAGUUUGAUCAUGGCUCAGAUUGAACGCUGGCGGCAGGCCUAACACAUGCAAGUCGAGCGGUAACAGGGGAAGCUUGCUUCUCGCUGACGAGCGGCGGACGGGUGAGUAAUGUAUGGGGAUCUGCCCGAUAGAGGGGGAUAACCACUGGAAACGGUGGCUAAUACCGCAUAAUCUCUUAGGAGCAAAGCAGGGGAACUUCGGUCCUUGCGCUAUCGGAUGAACCCAUAUGGGAGAAGCGAGGAGGGGGGGGAAGGGAGGACGGAGGGGAAGAGAAGGAGAGGGACGGAGAGGACGAGCAGAAAAAAGGGGAGAGAGAGAGGGAGAAGAAGAAGAAGGGAGGAAGAAGGGGGGAACAGGGCACAAGGGGCGCAAGCCUGAUGCAGCCAUGCCGCGUGUAUGAAGAAGGCCUUAGGGUUGUAAAGUACUUUCAGUCGGGAGGAAGGCGUUGAUGCUAAUAUCAUCAACGAUUGACGUUACCGACAGAA